GCGGGCGUGAUGGAGUGGUACCAUGCAACUUUCCCAAAGUUGAUGUCACGGGUUCGAAUCCCGUCGCCCGCUCCA
rnacentral:tRNA from 1 species